GUAAGUCUGUUAAGUACAUGUUUACUUCAAGUUUUGUGUUUUUGGGCUAUUGUCUAAAACUAGAAAAAUUACACAAUAUAAGAAGAAAAUAACUUGUAAACAGACAACCUAAACACAGUUGACUAUUUCCACAGUCCAUAUCUUUAAAGACUGUACCAGUGGUACUUACAUGCUGUUGUACUAAAGAUUCAGUUCUACUGCCAGAGAUGAGAUUACAAACUCACAAAUGAAUAAUAUGUAGAAAUGUGGAUUUAACAGAAAUAUAAUCCACAUUAAUCUUUGUUAUGAGAAACUAACUUUUUAUUUGUCAUGAUUUUCUUAUUUUCUUCAGGAUUCACCAAGUAAUGAGUGGUAUGUCACACUGACCUAUGGACCAAGAUGGGUAACAUAUAUUGUUGGCA
rnacentral:misc_RNA from 1 species